UCUAUACAUGCAGUCGAGCGGAAGAUGGGAGCUUGCUCCCUGAUGUUAGCGGCGGACGGGUGAGUAACACGUGGGUAACCUGCCUGUAAGACUGGGAUAACUCCGGGAAACCGGGGCUAAUACCGGAUGCUUGUUUGAACCGCAUGGUUCAAACAUAAAAGGUGGCUUCGGCUACCACUUACAGAUGGACCCGCGGCGCAUUAGCUAGUUGGUGAGGUAAUGGCUCACCAAGGCAACGAUGCGUAGCCGACCUGAGAGGGUGAUCGGCCACACUGGGACUGAGACACGGCCCAGACUCCUACGGGAGGCAGCAGUAGGGAAUCUUCCGCAAUGGACGAAAGUCUGACGGAGCAACGCCGCGUGAGUGAUGAAGGUUUUCGGAUCGUAAAGCUCUGUUGUUAGGGAAGAACAAGUACCGUUCGAAUAGGGCGGUACCUUGACGGUACCUAACCAGAAAGCCACGGCUAACUACGUGCCAGCAGCCGCGGUAAUACGUAGGUGGCAAGCGUUGUCCGGAAUUAUUGGGCGUAAAGGGCUCGCAGGCGGUUUCUUAAUUCUGAUGUGAAACCCCCCGGCUCAACCGAGGAGGGUCGUUGAAAGCUGGAGAACUUGACUGCAAAGGAGGAGAGUAACUCCUCCACGUGUAGGUGAAAUGUGUAUAGAGGUGUGAGAAAAACGCGAUGUCAAAAGGCGUACACUCUCUGUCUCUAUACUGUACCCCUAGGGAGGGAAAAGCAUGGGAGAAGUGAUGUAACCUGACCUCUGAGGUCGAGAAACGACAUGGGGAGAGUAACAGGUUUUAGAUACCGUUGUUCAGUACAACUCUGUACGCAUUGAGUGCUAUAGUGUUAGGGGGGUCUCCGCUCCCUUUUGUGGUGCAGAUAAUCGCACUAAGCACUCCGCCUGGGGAGUACGGUCCCAAGACUGAAACUCAAAGGAAUUGAAGGGGGCCCGCACAAGCGGUGGACCAUGUGGUUUAAUUCGAAGCAACGCGAAGAACCUUACCAGGUCUUGACAUCCUCUGACAAUCCUAGAGAUAGGACGUCCCCUUCGGGGGCAGAGUGACAGGUGGUGCAUGGUUGUCGUCAGCUCGUGUCGUGAGAUGUUGGGUUAAGUCCCGCAACGAGCGCAACCCUUGAUCUUAGUUGCCAGCAUUCAGUUGGGCACUCUAAGGUGACUGCCGGUGACAAACCGGAGGAAGGUGGGGAUGACGUCAAAUCAUCAUGCCCCUUAUGACCUGGGCUACACACGUGCUACAAUGGACAGAACAAAGGGCAGCGAAACCGCGAGGUUAAGCCAAUCCCACAAAUCUGUUCUCAGUUCGGAUCGCAGUCUGCAACUCGACUGCGUGAAGCUGGAAUCGCUAGUAAUCGCGGAUCAGCAUGCCGCGGUGAAUACGUUCCCGGGCCUUGUACACACCGCCCGUCACACCACGAGAGUUUGUAACACCCGAAGUCGGUGAGGUAACCUUUUAGGAGCCAGCCGCCGAU
rnacentral:rRNA from 1 species